AUUGAACGCUGGCGGCAGGCCUAACACAUGCAAGUCGAACGAGUGGCGGACGGGUGAUUAAUGUCUGGGAAACUGCCUGAUGGAGGGGGAUAACUACUGGAGACGGUAGCUAAUACCGCAUACCAUCAGAUGUGCCCAGGUGGGAUUAGCUAGUAGGUGGGGUAACGGCGCACCUAGGCGACGAUCCCUAGCCGGUCUGGGAGGAUGAACGGCCACAUUUGGAAUGGGACACGGGCCAGACUCCUACGGGAGGGAGCAGGGGGGAAGUUUCCGACAUGGAGGAAAGUCUGACGGAGCCACGCCGCGUGAGGGAGGAUGGGCUUUGGGUUGUAAAGUAUGUUAAGCGGGACGACGGUACCGGAAGAGAAAGCAACGGCUAACUACGUGCCAGCAGCCGCGGUAAUUC
rnacentral:rRNA from 1 species